GCAACAACAACUGAUGUAUAUAUUUUCAUGAUAUAUUAUAUAUAUUAUUAAACGAUAGGUUUUGGUCGUUUAGUCAUUUUUAUACGUCAAACGGUGCAGUUUUUCUUUUCCUUACUAAAAUAACACAGCACUUAAGUAAAAGAUACAAUUAUAAUACAUUGUACAUAAUAUUAAUUUCGCUAAUAAUUAAUUACAAUAUUAACGGACUCGUUUCGUUUUUUAUAAUAAUAAUAAUAAUAAUAAUAAUAAUAUAUGUAUAU